CUCCCUGAAAACGAAGAACAAAAGCAGUCAAUAUGGUGUUAUCCAGUACACUGGGAAACAAUGUUGCGUGUAGUGUACUGCAGUCAAUAUUGUACUUACAUCCACAUAUGCUCGUCUGACCUCUUUGUUUCUUUGAGAGUUUCUCUCAAACAGCACCUUAUAAAGUUGUUUCAUUCUGAUUUGGUUUUGCUUGAGAAUGCGAGUCAAUGUGGACAGACUGACUUGUUGAAUGUUGUUGAAUAUGGUGUUGUCUUGGAUGAUGUGGCUUUGAAUUUCUCGUAAUCUGAUUUCAUUAUUUUCCAAAACCAAGUUUACAAUGGCAGCUUCCUGUACCCUGGUGAACAUUUGGCCCCUUCCUCCACCAUGGUUGCGUCUCUCAGUCCUUUAGAAAAACAAAAACAAAAAUGUAGGGCUUGGACAAUGCAGCCUAAAGAUAUUUCCCCCACAGUAGAGUAAAUUCUACAGGAAAUUUGUGCAGUUAGUGUAUGACAUCAGCCAUUCAUGAAGUAAACAGGUGUCACCCAACUGAUACACUAUGACAUGGGGUGUACUACAUAGUGUGAAAUUUUUUUUGGUUACAUACCUGUACUCCAGUCUAAAUGUCCGGAUGACACAGGCGACAGUGAAACGGCUCAAGUUGGGCUGCACUCUCUGUCCAGCCUCUCGCAUUGUCAGCCCAUGGUUGAUGACAUGAUCAACUAAGGUUGCUCUGAUUUCAUUUGAAAGUUGUUGUCUUCUUUGGCCAUGAACUCCUCUACCAGCUCUACCCCUACCUCUCACUCUUCCUCCCCCUCUCAUUCUCACCCUCCCUCUUCCUCUUCCUCACUCUGCAACGACUUCCAUUGUUGUUGUAAAACAAAAGGUGCUCACCUGUGGUCUUUUCACAGUGCUUACUUCCUGAUUGAAGUGGUAACCAUUAACCAUUGAGGUGUUUGGCCAGGUGGCACAUGUAUUGGCCAAUUAGCUCAUGUAGUGUCAUUUUGAAUGGCAGUGUUUUGAAAUGGCAAACAUGUGACUUUAUGUGAGAUUGUUGUGUCUUAUGCAGAGAACCGUGUGCAGUGCAUUUAAAAAGUGCCAUUUUGAAUUGCAAAAUGUGUGUAAAGCAGAAAAUGUUUUUAGACUUUUGGAGACUUGAGAAGAGGUUUUGCUCUCUGUGUGUCAGUUUAAAUAAUUGUGCUGUGCAUGUCAUUUUAGUGUGUUAGCAAUUGGAAAAAACUGUAGCCAAAACUGUGCCAGUCUUUCAUUUCCAGGGGUGUUUGGGUGGUGCUGUUUUUUCAAUAGAAACCUCUGAAGUACAACUCUUCUUUACCCUUGAAUUACUGGACUGUACAUUUGUAAAUAUCAUCACUGUUGCACUGUGGGCAUACAGUACAAUACUGUAAAUCAAACCAUCUACUGUCCAACUGUGUGCCCAAAACCCAAAGAACUAUGCUGCUGGAUCCCCCAUUCCACUAUUGAACUGAGUAACAGGUUAGAUUCUCUCAUGGCCUUAAACAACCCUAGGCCUUAUUUGAAUGACUUAGCAUGGAGUAUUAUUUUACCUUUGUUCUGUUACAUCACACAUUCCUUGGCUAUGUUCUCAAAAUAUUGCAUGAGGACACCUGUUAAAUUUCCAUGUAUUGGUUCAACAACACCAGUGUGUAUAAAGUAGGACUGAGCCCAGUAGACUACAUUACUGCCCUACCAAUCAAAAAGGCAGUAACUGCUAAUUUGGUCGAAAACGAUUUGAUGUCAUUGAAGAGAGAGUAUGCAGGUGAAGUUGCUGUACUAAAUGACCGCGUAAAGGUAUUUUAUUUUUCUUACCUGGUCCAUAUAAGUGUUGGCAUCUGAACAUGAAAGAGCAUUUCCUGUAAUUCCAGUCCACACAGCUGAACUGUCAGCCAUGGGGGCUAGACUGAGCGCCAGUGAGAGCCAGGUGAAGGAGCUGCAGAAAGAUGGGGUGAACCAGAGAGUGGAGAUGAGUGUCACAAAGACUGAACUGCAGUUCCACAAAAACAAGAUGGAGGAACUGGAGAGAGAGAGAAGACAGUUUUGGGGGGCAGAGUGACAGCCACCGAGAGAGGUGGAGGAACUGAAAACAGUCAAUUCAGAGAUACCAAAGGUGGCAUUCUCUGCUGCUUUAGGUAGUACAGUGGGACCCUUCAAUUCUGAAACCAUUCUGAAACCACCAACAUCGGCCAGGCCUACUGACAUCACCCUGAUUUCCUCCAAUGUCAUCACUAACAUCAGCCAGGCCUGCAUUCCAGUUACAGGUUUCUUCACAGCACCAGUGAGAGGACUCUACUUCUUCAGAUUCACAAGCCAUGGUGACCGCUCAUCAUCUUACGUGGGUGCAGCCUUGUACAGGAAUGACCAGAUAAUAAUGCAGGCACAUCAGUAUAACCAUGGAUGGGAUCAGGAUGUAUCCAGUGCUGUAACUCUAGAGCUGGAGGAGGUGGAUUUGGCCUACCGCGCCUCCACUUUACUUACAGAUUACAUGAUGACUCAAAAAACCACAACAUCUUCAGUGGAUUCCUGAUCUUCCCUAUGUAAUGAUGCAAAAUGAUGCCUAGACAUGGGGUACUCUGAGCUCCAAUUGUUUCUGUAUACAAAAAUGCAAGUAUUUUUGUGUCAUUUACUGUCAGUGUUGAAUUUCGUUUAGGAAAAUAUCUGCUCAUUUUUUAAAUUCUACACAUUUGAUGAAUGGUGUUAAGUAAGUGAGGGAAGGGAAUUUUGAGUUUGCACUUUUGAAGAAAGAGAGAGAAAGAAAGAAAAAAGGGAAGCGAGAGAGAGAGAGUUGGGGUGAGAGGGGGGAUGAGAGAGAGAGGAAGGAGGUAGAUUUGUAAGAGCUCAGCUGUGUCCUUCAGAUGUAGCUCUGUCCCUCUGUGGGGAGCAGCUGCACCAUGACACACACACAGGCCUGGGCUACAUUCAAGAUCACAACGCUCUGGAAUGUUUCUAUUUUCUGUUUACCAUAAUACAGAGGAGGCUGCUGGGAGCAGCUAAAGGAGGACCGGUGCACUGGAAUGGCUGGAAUGGAAUUAAUGGAACGGAGUCAAACGUGUUGUUUCCAUAUGUUUGACAUGUUUGAUACCGUUCCAUUGAUACUGUACCAUUUCAGCCAUUACAAGGAGCCCUUCCUCCUAUAGCUCCCUCCACCAGCCUCCUCUGCCGUAAAGCUUAGAAACAUUUUGCUCUGUAGCACUAUGGUUUAACUUAGACAACCUUACGAAAACCACCGCUGACAGAUGCUCAUUCAGUAACAACAUCCAGUAGGCCUAUAUUCAACACAAACACCAUAAUACACAGUUAUGUUGUGACUUUUGGCUAAUUAAUAUUCAAUAUAAUGUAUUGAUUAAUUACUGGAAUAAUUAAAUUAUCUAAUUUAUUUGAUUAAUUUGGUAAUCCUAUCCAAAUGAAUAUUAGAGGGGCAUCAUUAAGGGUUGGAUGUAGAGAAACCCUUGAAUUAACUCUAUCAGUAGUAGUCGUUUAAACGUUAUAUCAUUAAUUACUAUAUCAACAAUAUAAUCCUGUCAAUUUGACUAUAUUCUCAUUCUGAAUAGCCGAUAAACUCUGGCGUCUGGAAGACUGACACUGAGAGUGUCAGUCUUUUGACACAGAGUGGUAAAACAGGAAGGGAGAGGAGUGUAGUUUUUACCUUGUGAUAGGGCGUAAACUACUCCGUAAAAGGAAGGACUGCCCCCCUUUCACCCCAUUUAAUGCAGGCACAGGGAAUACCUGUUCUCCAACACCUACAACUGAGGGGCUUUUGUCAAUAAAAA